rnacentral:rRNA from 1 species
AACGAACGCUGGCGGCAUGCCUAACACAUGCAAGUCGAACGAGACCUUCCGGUCUAGUUGCGGAAGGGUGCGUACCACGUGGUAACCUGCCCUUAGGUACGCAAUCACUCCCCCAAAGAUAUGCUAGUACCGCUUAGUGUCUUCGGACCAAAGAUUUAUCUCCUUUGGGUGGGCCCGCGUUAGAUUAGCAAGUUGGUAUGGUACAACCCUACCAAGGCGACGUGCCAUAGCUGGUCGGAAAGGAGGCUAAGCCAGACGGGGAAUGAGACACGGCCCACACCCCUAGGCGAGGGAGAAGUGGAGAAUAUUGGACAAGGGGGGAAAGUGUGAUCCAGCAAUGCCGCGUGAGUGAUGAAGGCCUUAGGGUUGUAAAUCUCGUUUAGCCGAGAUGAUAAUGACAGUACCGGGAGAAUAAGCUCCGGCUAACUCCGUG